rnacentral:rRNA from 1 species
GACGAACGCUGGCGGCGUGCCUAACACAUGCAAGUCGACGAGAAAGGGGUAGCAAUAUCCCGAGUAAAGUGGCGCACGGGUGAGGAACACGUAGGCAAUCUGCCAUAAGGACGGGGACAACUCCGAGAAAUCGGGGCUAAUACCCGAUGAUGCAGCGGGACCGCAUGGUGACCGCUGUUAACGGCCCCAAAAGGGCGCCUUAUGAGGAGCCUGCGCCCCAUUAGGUAGUUGGUGAGGUAACGGCUCACCAAGCCUACGAUGGGUAGCUGGUCUGAGAGGAUGAUCAGCCACACUGGAACUGAGACACGGUCCAGACUCCUACGGGAGGCAGCAGUGAGGAAUAUUGCGCAAUGGCCGAAAGGCUGACGCAGCGACGCCGCGUGAAGGAUGAAGUCCGUUAGGAUGUAAACUUCUUUUGCAGGGGAUGAAUUCCCCGUUUUACGGGGCGUGACCGUACCCUGCGAAUAAGGAUCGGCCAACUACGUG